UAGAGUGUAGUCGGCUGUCCUUAAAUGCAUUAGCGAGUGUUAGUCUACAUGGCACGGCCUCUUGACGUGAUAAUGAUCGUCGUGGGCUGGAAGUGUAGUGUCUGGCUUCUAAUCAUUGAUUGCGUGCACGACUUACGUGCAAGCGUAGUUCGAAAUUGACAUUUGACCUCAAAUCAGGUAGGACUACCCGCUGAACUUAA
rnacentral:misc_RNA from 1 species